rnacentral:pre_miRNA from 13 species
AGACGACAGUAGCCCCCGUCAGAAUAAUGUCAAAGUGCUUACAGUGCAGGUAGUGGUAUGUAGAAUCUACUGCAGUGAAGGCACUUGUAGCAUUAUGUUGACACCUGCCACAGAAAGCCUC